rnacentral:tRNA from 1 species
UCCUGGUUAGCUCUGUUGGUAGAGCGCUCCCCUAGGAAUGGAGAGGCCCCUGGUUCGAUACCAGGACCAGUCA